UGAGUAACCUGCCCUUAACUCUGGGAUAAGCCUGGGAAACUGGGUCUAAUACCGGAUAUGACUCCUCAUCGCAUGGGUGGGGGGUGGAAAGCUUUAUUGUGGUUUUGGAUGGACUCGCGGCCUAUCAGCUUGUUGGUGAGGUAAUGGCUCACCAAGGCGACGACGGGUAGCCGGCUGAGAGGGUGACCGGCCACACGUGGGACUGAGACACGGCCCAGACUCCUACGGGAGCAG
rnacentral:rRNA from 1 species